CUUUUGCAGGGGUAGGCGCCCCCUGCUCUGCCAAGUUGCUGGCAGUCAUUUGUUGAGCACAAAUCCGCGCUGGAUGCCUGUCAGCGCGGAGCUUCUCGCCGUCGCUCCCUGCGCAUCUCAGCCAGGCGUAGACUCACGCAGGCGGUAUUUUUUGCGCACUAACAUCCGUUUAGUCACUCUCUUUCGAGACAUUAAGCAAUGCAACGAAAUGGAACAUUUUCCCCCCUUUUUGCUUAUCACUCAAUGUCUUCUGACGAGCGUUAGACGCAAAUAAAGCGAAGAGCUGGAUAGGGGAUAUGACCAGGUUGCGCUAGGACGAGGAGGGAGCGACAUAACCGGGCUUCCACUGAUCAAGGUGGAUCGAUAGAUGUUCUCACCUUCAUCCCUGACGAUCAUGCUUUAUUUUCAGCUGGUGAUCAUGGCGGGGACUGUCAUGUUGGCGUAUUACUUCGAGUACACGGACACGUUCAACGUGCACGUCCAGGGCUUUUUCUGCUAUGACAGCUCGUACACGAAGCCCUACCUCGGACCGGAGGAGUCGAGCGCUGUGCCCCCAGCCCUCCUGUAUGCGGUGGUCGCCGGGAUUCCCACGCUGGUGAUAACAGUAACAGAGUCUGUCAUGUUCCUACUUCAGUACACUUCUAAAGACUUUGACACUAGGGAGAAGACUGUCGUCACAGGAGACUGUUGUUACCUUAACCCACUCGUACGACGGACUGUCCGAUUUCUUGGCGUGUACAUCUUCGGCCUCUUCACCACGGACAUCUUCGUGAACGCCGGCCAGGUGGUGACCGGCAACCUGGCUCCCCACUUCCUCACUGUGUGUAAGCCCAACUACACAGCGCUGGGGUGCCAGCACACGCUGCGAUUCAUCAGCCACCAGGAGGCCUGCACGGGCAGCGAGGAGGACAUCCUCCGCGCGCGCAAGACCUUCCCCUCCAAGGAAGCCGCCCUGAGCGUCUACGCCGCUCUUUAUCUCGCCAUGUACAUCAGCUGUACAGUGAAAGCCAAAGGAACGAGGUUAGCAAAGCCCGUCUUGUCCUUGGGGCUGAUGUGCCUGGCCUUUCUGACGGGCCUGAACCGUGUGGCGGAGUACCGCAACCACUGGGCAGACGUCAUUGCGGGCUUCAUCGUCGGCGUGGCCAUCGCCACCUUCCUGGUGGUUUGUGUUGUGCACAACUUCAAGGGCAAACUCUUGUUGAACGAAACCCUGGAGAAGGACACACUGUCCAGCGCUCCUAUGACCAGCCUUCCUAGAGUAGAGAGCCCCCUGCAGAAAUACAUAGCCUCACAGGUGGCAGAACUUAGGGAAGAGGAAGCAGUCCCCGCUACCUCUCUCAAAUCACGCGUCGUCAGGUUCUUUAGCUGGAUCACGGGGAUGAGUCGCUUCGAGCACCUGCAUCACACAAGGCAAUAAACAUUUGGGGAGCAGACAGGGGUUAUAUGGCAGUAGAACAGGAUUGCCAAGAAUCACAUCGCCUUCGCUGAGGUCACAUGACACUGAAGCGGCCAUUUGCCAGACACAUUGGUCAUCAUCCCUGUUUACCAUACAGCCAUCGUAGUUCAAUGCCCGUUUUCACAUGUUAUUUGAAGACCCCAAAGCUCUGGCAGUCCUAAUGGAAAUAUUGGGAAGCAUAAAGAAGACUGUCCUUCCACCCACCAACUCAGUUUACCGUUACGUAUUUACCAGGCUAGACUUGAAACCCAGAAAUUAAAAAGUUUUUGUAGCUGCUGAAGCCUGUACCUUCUGUUCCUUUGGCAAAAUGAAUAAAACGAUGUGUCUUACAGUCAUAAAGAGACAAAAUAUUUUAUCAGUAUUUAUUUUGCUGUUUGUUCCUUUUUAUUAAAAGAAUUUGUAUGUUCGUUUAGACAAAGACAGAAAACUAAUUGUUUUUGUAGCAAAAGAGAAUAAGCCAUGUGUUUAGGUUAUUCUUCUCUUUUAAAAAUGGUAAUCCAUUACAAGCUGGAAUUCUGUGUUUCUAUUGCACUGUAAACCUCACAUGUCCAUGUAAACAAUUAUGGAAAUAAAGUUAAUACAUUUACACUGAA